rnacentral:rRNA from 1 species
GAUGAACGCUGGCGGCGUGCCUAAUACAUGCAAGUCGAGCGAACGGACGAGAAGCUUGCUCUUCUGACGUUAGCGGCGGACGGGUGAGUAACACGUGGAUAACCUACCUAUAAGACUGGGAUAACUUCGGGAAACCGGAGCUAAUACCGGAUAAUAUUUUGAACCGCAUGGUUCAAAAGUGAAAGACGGUUUUGCUGUCACUUAUAGAUGGAUCCGCGCCGCAUUAGCUAGUUGGUAAGGUAACGGCUUACCAAGGCAACGAUGCGUAGCCGACCUGAGAGGGUGAUCGGCCACACUGGAACUGAGACACGGUCCAGACUCCUACGGGAGGCAGCAGUAGGGAAUCUUCCGCAAUGGGCGAAAGCCUGACGGAGCAACGCCGCGUGAGUGAUGAAGGUCUUCGGAUCGUAAAACUCUGUUAUUAGGGAAGAACAUAUGUGUAAGUAACUAUGAACAUCUUGACGGUACCUAAUCAGAAAGCCACGGCUAACUACGUG